rnacentral:rRNA from 1 species
CGUAUAUUAAAGUUGUUGCAGUUAAAAAGCUCGUAGUUGGAUUUGUGGUGGUGCCUGCGGUCCCAAUAUUUUGGGUACUGUCGGGCGCUGCCAUCCUUGGGUGGAACCUGUGUGGCAUUAGGUUGUCGUGCAGGGGAUGCCCAUCGUUUACUGUGAAAAAAUUAGAGUGUUCAAAGCAGGCUUACGCCGUUGAAUAUAUUAGCAUGGAAUAAUAAGAUAGGCCUUUGGUACUAUUUUGUUGGUUUGCGCACCAAAGGAAUGAUUAAUAGGGACAGUUGGGGC